rnacentral:rRNA from 1 species
CUACGGGAGGCAGCAGUGGGGAAUAUUGGACAAUGGGGGAAACCCUGAUCCAGUAAUGCCGCGUGUGUGAAGAAGGCCUGCGGGUUGUAAAGCACUUUCGGUUGGGAGGACUGCUUCUAGCACUAAUAUUGUUGGAAGUUGACGUUACCUUCAGAAGAAGCACCGGCUAACUCCGUGCCAGCAGCCACGGUAAUACGGAGGGUGCAAGCGUUAAUCGGAAUUACUGGGCGUAAAGCGCGCGUAGGCGGCUAGAUCAGUCGGGUGUGAAAGCCCCGGGCUUAACCUGGGAACUGCAACCGAUACUGGCUAGCUAGAGUACAGGAGAGGAGAGUGGAAUUCCACAUGUAGCGGUGAAAUGCGUAGAUAUGUGGAGGAACACCAAUGGCGAAGGCAGCUCUCUGGCCUGAUACUGACGCUGAGGUGCGAAAGCGUGGGGAGCAAACAGGAUUAGAUACCCCCGUAGUC